ensembl:lncRNA
GUGGAGAGAGAGGGUGGAGGAGGAGGAGAAGAGAGAGACAGGUGGAGAGAGGAGGAGGAGAAGAGAGAGAGACAGAUGGAGAGAGGGGAGGAGAAGAGAGAGAGACAGGUGGAGAGAGGGGGAGAGAAGAGAGAGAGACAGGUGGAGAGAGGAGGAGAGAAGAGAGAGAGACAGGUGGAGAGAGGGGGAGGAGAAGAGAGAGAGACAGGUGGAGAGAGGGGGAGGAGAAGAGAGAGAGACAGGUGGAGAGAGGAGGAGGAGAGAGAGAGAGAGAGAG